CUUUGGUUCGACCGAAAAUCUAUUUUAAAUGUGCUAUAUAAAUAAAAUUUGAUUUGAUUUGAAGGUGUGCCAAAUUGUGAGGCCGUGUGCUGUGCUGCACAAUUUGGCACUCCUUAAAAAUGUGCCGUUACCCCCUGAGGCUGCAUGUACCGGCCACGAGCCAGACCCCCUUCCCCAUGCACAUCCACACCCACACCCAGGUGGAGUUCAACAGCGUCUGGAUGUGAUGCGUAACUUACACACACAACAAGGACUGCAUCUGUGAGGACACGGCCGCUGCUGGAGGGCUGCGCAGGAGGUGCUGUGGAGACGCCGGGCCCGGGGCUCGAGGCACGAGGUGCCGUGCCCGUGGAGGCAGGAGGUGCCGUGCCCGUGGAGGCAGCGGGGCUCGAGGCACGAGGUGCCGUGCCCGUGGAGGCAGGAGGUGCCGUGCCCGUGGAGGCAGCGGGGCUCGAGGCACGAGGUGCCGUGCCCGUGGAGGCAGCGGGGCUCGAGGCACGAGGUUCCUCGCGAGGUCCUCCUACCCUGGUGGAACCAGCAUCUUGUUAAUUCUUUUUUCUUAAUAAAGUUAUGAUUUGUUUUUCGAAAUACA